CACGUAGGGCGCAAGCGUUGUCCGGAAUUAUUGGGCGUAAAGAGCUCGUAGGUGGUUUGUUACGUCCGCUGUGAAAUCCUAGGGCUUAACCCUGGGCUUGCAGUGGAUACGGGCAGACUAGAGGUAGGUAGGGGAGAAUGGAAUUCCUGGUGUAGCGGUGAAAUGCGCAGAUAUCAGGAGGAGCACCGGUGGCGAAGGCGGUUCUCUGGGCCUUACCUGACACUGAGGAGCGAAAGCGUGGGGAGCGAACAGG
rnacentral:rRNA from 1 species